GAUGAAGAACGUAGCGAAAUGCGAUAAGUAAUGUGAAUUGCAGAAUUCAGUGAAUCAUCGAAUCUUUGAACGCACAUUGCGCCCCUUGGUAUUCCGAGGGGCAUGCCUGUUCGAGCGUCAUUAUAACCCCUCAAGCUCAGCUUGGUGUUGGGGCCUGCUGCACUGGCAGCCCUUAAAAUCAGUGGCGGCGCCAUCUGGCUCUAAGCGUAGUAAUUCUUCUCGCUAUGGAGUCCUGGUGGAUGCUUGCCAUCAACCCCCAAUUUUUCUAUGGUUGACCUCGGAUCAGGUAGGGAUACCCUCUGAACUUAAGCAUAUCAAUAAGCGGAGGA
rnacentral:misc_RNA from 1 species